rnacentral:rRNA from 1 species
GCGGUGAAGGAUGAGCCCGCGGCCUAUCAGCUAGUUGGUGGGGUGAUGGCCUACCAAGGCGACGACGGGUAGCCGGCCUGAGAGGGCGACCGGCCACACUGGGACUGAGACACGGCCCAG